rnacentral:lncRNA from 1 species
UUCAUUUCAUUAUUUCAUUUCACCAUUUCAUCAUUUCAUUUCAUCAUUUCAUUUCAUUUCAGUGAUACAUAUAUUUAAGUGCUAAUGUGAUGCCCAGGAGACAUCCUACUUCCCUUUGUAAAAUACCUCCUUCAACAAAAGGCAACCUCUCAUGGCUGGCUAAGUCUACAGGGAUACCAGGCUCUCCUCAACCACCCAAUUUGAUUUAGAACCUCAAACAGCACCUCAGUUUCAUGAAAACCUAACACAUAAACACAACACUUGGUUGUAAGUGAGCCAACAGCUUCUUGUCUCUUUCUCUGCUCAAGGCUUAAGGCCGUGUCUCCCCAACUACGUUCAGUGGAAGAAAAGAUCCCCUGGACAAAUAAGUUUGAGGACUGUCAUUGCAGGACUUCUCAGAACCUUUAAAACACAAAUCCUCAUCCGCAGGGAUCUUCAGGAGGGAGACGGCUGAUGCAGCACAACUUUCUUUCACAGGAGCAUCUUGCAGAAUACACUGUCCUGAGAGCACGUCUCUACAUCUAUACCUGCAUUCUGGAAUCAGGGAGAAAGCCAAAACGGAUGACAAGACACUAGGUCAGCCGCCUCCAACCCUUUGACUACAAGGACUUUUCCACCUAUCUGUGGUGGCAACCCCUUGAGGUCAAGACCCCACAAUCAGAUGAGGAUGGAGUGGCUCACCCUCAGUCAACAGGCCAGACUCAAGGGGUUCCAGGCAAGUCAGUUCUCCCUCAGGCCUUCGGUUUCCUCACCCACAAGAUGAGAGGGCUGGACCAGAUGGAAAUUCAGGGGGUAAGGUGAUGUCCGCUCGCAGCCCACCUCGCCCAUGGGCCCCUCAAGCCUCCCUGCCAGUUCCCACGACGCACCCGCCCCACAGAUCCUGCCCAAGGCUAUUAAAAAGCACCCAGGUAUGCUGGCAAAUUGACAAAGCACUCUGUGCAUAACCACGAAAAACACAUUUUCUUAAAGACCCAAGAAGACCCUCAUUUUCAGCACUGGCUGACCUUCAGGCUCAGCUCAGCAGAAAGUGAAGACUGAAGCAAAGUUUUCAACAGUCUGCACAUGUGUUAAAGGAACGCCCCAGCCCAGAGCCAUCCACAAAAACUGGAAGAAUCCGUCAGUUUGUCUUUGUCUCAGUUUUGUCAUAUAGACCUUUGUGACACACAGAUCUAUAUACAAUGGAAACUACAAAUUUCUAAUGAAAGAGCCAUGAAAGAUCACAAAAGAUCUUAAUAAAUAGAAAGACAUUUAAUGUGCAUGAUCAUAAAAUCUCAAUAUUGUCAAGAUAUAAUUUCUCCCCAAUUUGAGUUAUAGGCAAGAGAGUCACAUCAUCUAGGUGAUUGGCCAAACAUAUGUCACAAUCCCUUCCAUUGACAGCUCCCAAAAAAGGAGUUACAUCACCUAGGUGCUCAGCUCUGAGAUGUGUCACAACAUUGCCCAAUACAGGCAGGCCACAGGCGGGAGAGUCACAUUUCCUGGGUGCUUGGCCCAGUGGUAUGUCACAUUUCCUUAUGUAGGAAGGGCACACGUAGCAAGAGAGAGUCACAUUACCUAGGUACUGUGCUAGAGCUAUCAGUCUCUGUGUCGUUCAAUGUGAGAGUUAUGAUCUCUUUAGACAUCCAUGUAACAGAGCCUCAACUCCUUCAUCCUCAGAUGUAAAGGCUAGUGAAGACCAAAUAAGCCUUGAAAGGUAAUUCCCCUAAAAAGGCAGAAUGUCUUAGGCUUUGGCCUCUCCCCUUCAAGCACAAUGAGAUCAUAACCUCUCUUUUGACUUCUCACUAUGCCCAGCACUGGAACAAAGCUCCUGACUCCACACCCUCACCUUUCCACCCUUGUGCCUUCACUGGGCAGACAAGAGAUGAGAAGACCUGAACUCUGGGACAGUCUGGGGAGAAAAGAAUCCAAAAAGGGUUGAGGCGGCAAGGGCUGAGCUCCCACGGGUGCCCCGGCCCAAAGGUGCAGGUCCAGGCUGUUUUCCAGGUGGCAUUCAGUGCAGGUUCUUCAAUGCCACUGGAAGGCAUGAAAAACCCACUGUAGCUGCUGCUGCUUCCUUUUCUUAAGCUGUGAAAAUGCAAACACUUUUUCAAGGUUUUCAGAUAUGCCCAGGUACCCCCAACUGAAAAGGAGGAUAAUGGCAUUGUUCAUCAUGGCUUAUUGUCUUGCCCAGGCAGGAGCCAGCCCCUGACUCGCCAAUCCAGCUGCCCCAGGCUGGAGGUGAUCCUUUCGAGCCUCCUCCCUGCAACUCCACUCCUCUUUUUUCUCUUCCUCAACCACCGGCAUACUUUUGGUCAUCCUCCUUGUUGUCACAAUGGGGGCGUGAUGCCAUAAAGACCUGGGAACCCCAAUGAUCUCAGGUCCCGCAGGGGUCAGGUGAGCAUAUAGGAAGUCCAGAAGGACAGUCAUCUGCCACCUCCAGUUGAAAAAGAACAAAACCCUCGCACUCCAGAAAUGAGUCAAGAACCCAGCGAAGGCCACAGGUCUAGCCCACAACCACCUAGGUAUGUGGGGUCCUCCAAGGCUCACGCUUGUGUCCUGCAGGCUGGAGCCCAUGCGAGGGUCUGCAGUCUUUGUUCCGGAUGGGGAACUACUGCUUCAGCUGGUUACCCAGGUGUCCCCGAUGGGGAAAGGAAGGAAAUGGUGAGAAUCUUCAGCACAACGGAUCACAUCACCCUGGCAGAGACCAGUCCGGCCUGCGCAUGGCACCAGCAGCCGCAGGCUAGAGGCAGUCAUGUCAGGCCUCCUCCAUACAGCAUCUCUCCUGCUUUUUUUUCAAACGGUCCUAAUCACUUAAUUUGGUCAUCUUCCCUGUCACAAUGGGGCACCUGGCGCUAUAGACACUUGGGAAACACACAGAUCUGGGGUCCUACAGUGUCCAGGUGAAGACGCCGGGAGUCAGAGAGGAAAGUCUUUUGAAGCCUCCAAAAGGAAUGCACAGGACCCCACUUGAAGAGGUGGAGUGCCCAGUGGCGGAUACAGGCCCCACACAUCGCAGCAGUAAACAGGGACUCCACGGUGUCCAGCUCUCCAGCCUGGGGUUUCUCAUCACCCAGUGAUUCCAAAAGAA